rnacentral:rRNA from 1 species
GGCCAUAGUGGGUGAUAGCCCUGUACGCGAAAAUCCCUUUGCAAUGAAAUCGAGUAGGACGGGGCACGAGAAACCUUGUCUGAAUAUGGGGGGACCAUCCUCCAAGGCUAAAUUCUACUGACUGACCGAUAGUGAACCAGUACCGUGAGGGACAGGCGAAAAGAACCGCGGAGAGCGGAGUGAAAUAGAUCCUGAAACCGUAUGCGUACAAGCAGUGGGAGCCCACUUUGUUGGGUGACUGCGUACCUUUUGUAUAAUGGGUCAGCGACUUAUUUUCAGUGGCGAGCUUAACCGAAUAGGGGAGGCGUAGCGAAAGCGAGUCUUAAUAGGGCGUCUAGUCGCUGGGAAUAGACCCGAAACCGGGCGAUCUAUCCAUGGGCAGGUUGAAGGUUGGGUAACACUAACUGGAGGACCGAACCGACUACCGUUGAAAAGUUAGCGGAUGACCUGUGGAUCGGAGUGAAAGGCUAAUCAAGCUCGGAGAUAGCUGGUUCUCCUCGAAAGCUAUUUAGGUAGCGCCUCAUGUAUCACUGUAGGGGGUAGAGCACUGUUUCGGCUAGGGGGUCAUCCCGACUUACCAAACCGAUGCAAACUCCGAAUACCUACAAGUGCCGAGCAUGGGAGACACACGGCGGGUGCUAACGUCCGUCGUGAAAAGGGAAACAACCCAGACCGUCAGCUAAGGUCCCAAAGUCAUGGUUAAGUGGGAAACGAUGUGGGAAGGCUUAGACAGCUAGGAGGUUGGCUUAGAAGCAGCCACCCUUUAAAGAAAGCGUAAUAGCUCACUAGUCGAGUCGGCCUGCGCGGAAGAUGUAACGGGGCUCAAACCAUGCACCGAAGCUACGGGUAUCAUCUUUCCCACGCCGAAAGACCAAGGUUUCCUGCGCAACGUUAAUCGACGCAGGGUUAGUCGGUCCCUAAGGCGAGGCUGAAAAGCGUAGUCGAUGGAAAACAGGUUAAUAUUCCUGUACUUCUGGUUAUUGCGAUGGAGGGACGGAGAAGGCUAGGCCAGCCUGGCGUUGGUUGUCCAGGUUUAAGGUGGUAGGCUGAGAUCUUAGGUAAAUCCGGGAUCUUAAGGCCGAGAGCUGAUGACGAGUGUUCUUUUAGAACACGAAGUGGUUGAUGCCAUGCUUCCAAGAAAAGCUUCUAAGCUUCAGGUAACCAGGAACCGUACCCCAAACCGACACAGGUGGUUGGGUAGAGAAUACCAAGGCGCUUGAGAGAACUCGGGUGAAGGAACUAGGCAAAAUGGCACCGUAACUUCGGGAGAAGGUGCGCCGGUGGAGGUGAAGCAUUUACUGCGUAAGCCCCUGCCGGUCGAAGAUACCAGGCCGCUGCGACUGUUUAUUAAAAACACAGCACUCUGCAAACACGAAAGUGGACGUAUAGGGUGUGACGCCUGCCCGGUGCCGGAAGGUUAAUUGAUGGGGUUAGCGCAAGCGAAGCUCUUGAUCGAAGCCCCGGUAAACGGCGGCCGUAACUAUAACGGUCCUAAGGUAGCGAAAUUCCUUGUCGGGUAAGUUCCGACCUGCACGAAUGGCGUAACGAUGGCGGCGCUGUCUCCACCCGAGACUCAGUGAAAUUGAAAUCGCUGUGAAGAUGCAGUGUAUCCGCGGCUAGACGGAAAGACCCCGUGAACCUUUACUAUAGCUUUGCACUGGACUUUGAAUUUGCUUGUGUAGGAUAGGUGGGAGGCUUUGAAGCGUGGACGCCAGUCUGCGUGGAGCCAACCUUGAAAUACCACCCUGGCAACUUUGAGGUUCUAACUCAGGUCCGUUAUCCGGAUCGAGGACAGUGUAUGGUGGGUAGUUUGACUGGGGCGGUCUCCUCCUAAAGAGUAACGGAGGAGUACGAAGGUGCGCUCAGACCGGGNGGGGAUAACAGGCUGAUACCGCCCAAGAGUUCAUAUCGACGGCGGUGUUUGGCACCUCGAUGUCGGCUCAUCCCAUCCUGGGGCUGAAGCCGGUCCCAAGGGUAUGGCUGUUCGCCAUUUAAAGUGGUACGCGAGCUGGGUUUAGAACGUCGUGAGACAGUUCGGUCCCUAUCUGCCGUGGACGUUUGAGAUUUGAGAGGGGCUGCUCCUAGUACGAGAGGACCGGAGUGGACGAACCUCUGGUGUUCCGGUUGUCACGCCAGUGGCAUUGCCGGGUAGCUAUGUUCGGAAAAGAUAACCGCUGAAAGCAUCUAAGCGGGAAACUUGCCUCAAGAUGAGAUCUCACUGGAACCUUGAGUUCCCU